CGCGUAGGCGGGAUGGCAAGUCGGUCGUGAAAUCCCUCGGCUCAACCGAGGAACGUCGAUCGAUACUGCUGUUCUUGAGGAUUGCAGAGGAGACUGGAAUUCCCGGUGUAGCGGUGAAAUGUGUAGAGAUCGGGAGGAACACCGGUGGCGAAGGCGGGUCUCUGGGCAAUUCCUGACGCUGAGGCGCGAAAGCGUGGGGAGCAAACGGGAUUAGAUACCCCGGUAGUCCACGCUGUAAACGAUGACGACUAGGUGUGGGGGGGUUCAGUCCCUUCCGUGCCGCAGCUAACGCAUUAAGUCGUCCGCCUGGGGAGUACGGCCGCAAGGUUGAA
rnacentral:rRNA from 1 species